AGAGUUUGAUCCUGGCUCAGGAUGAACGCUGGCGGCGUGCCUAACACAUGCAAGUCGAGCGAUUCUCUUCGGAGAAGAGCGGCGGACGGGUGAGUAACGCGUGGGUAACCUGCCCUGUACACACGGAUAACAUACCGAAAGGUAUGCUAAUACGAGAUAAUAUACUUUUAUCGCAUGGUAGAAGUAUCAAAAGCUCCGGCGGUACAGGAUGGACCCGCGUCUGAUUAGCUAGUUGGUAAGGUAACGGCUUACCAAGGCGACGAUCAGUAGCCGACCUGAGAGGGUGAUCGGCCACAUUGGAACUGAGACACGGUCCAAACUCCACGGGAGGCAGCAGUGGGGAAUAUUGCACAAUGGGCGAAAGCCUGAUGCAGCAACGCCGCGUGAGCGAUGAAGGCCUUCGGGUCGUAAAGCUCUGUCCUCAAGGAAGAUAAUGACGGUACUUGAGGAGGAAGCCCCGGCUAACUACGUG
rnacentral:rRNA from 1 species